CGCCUUCCUGCCCCGCCCCGCACCGGCCCGGCCCCCGCCCCUCCUUCCUGGAGCCGGGGCUGGAGAGGCGGCGGCGGCGGCGCUGGCGGCUGCUGCCGGGCAGGGGGGGCGGCGAGCGGCCCGCGCGACACGCGCCGGCCCGACCCUCUGCUGUGACCCGCGCGGCGUAGGCGCCUCCUGCCCCGCCGGCGGGGUCCGGCUCCCCGCGGCGGGAUGUUCUCCCGGAGGAGCCAUGGGGAUGUGAAGAAGUCCACCCAGAAGGUGCUGGACCCCAAGAAGGACGUGCUGACCCGCCUGAAGCACCUGCGGGCGCUGCUGGACAAUGUGGAUGCCAGUGAUCUUAAGCAGUUUUUUGAGACCAACUAUUCUCAGAUAUAUUUCAUCUUCUAUGAAAAUUUUAUAACACUGGAAAAUAGUUUGAAAUUAAAAGGGAAUAAUAAGUCACAAAGGGAGGAGCUGGACUCCAUUCUCUUUCUUUUUGAAAAAAUAUUGCAGUUUCUACCUGAACGAAUUUUCUUUCGAUGGCAUUACCAGAGUAUAGGCUCAACUUUAAAGAAGCUUCUACACACUGGAAAUUCUAUUAAGAUAAGAUGUGAAGGAAUCCGGCUGUUUCUUCUGUGGCUUCAAGCACUUCAGACGAACUGUGCAGAAGAGCAGGUGCUGAUUUUUGCUAGCCUGGUCCCGGGAUUCCCUGCCAUCAUGUCGUCCAGGGGGCCCUGUACACUGGACACGCUCAUCAACCCUGGCCCCAGCAUGGCUGAUGCGAAGAUCCAUCCGGAAGAAAUCACUCCACUGCUGCCAGCCGUAUCAGGGGAGAAGAUCACCGAGGACCAAACGUGCUUUUUUCUUCAAGUACUGUUGAAAUACAUGGUUACUCAGGCUGCAAGCUUGGAGUGGAAGCAUAAGGAGAAUCAGGAGACUGGGUUUAAAUUUCUGUUUACGUUGUUUCGAAAGUAUUACCUUCCUCAUCUGUUUCCCUCGUUUACCAAGUUAACCAACAUCUACAAGCCUGUGCUGGACAUCCCCCACCUGAGACCAAAGCCUGUGUAUGUCACUACCACUCGAGACAAUGAGAGCAUUUACAGCACAAAGAUCCCAUACAUGGCAGCUCGUGUUGUCUUCAUUAAGUGGAUGGUGACUUUCUUUUUGGAAAAAAAGUAUCUAACUGCAACACAAAACACUAAGAAUGGAGUUGAUGUAUUGCCUAAAAUCAUUCAGACCGUCGGAGGAGGCACUGCAGUGCAGGAGCGAGCAACGGAGCCAGAUGCUGGCGGGGCGGCGGAGCAGGACCGAGGCCUCGCGGAUGGGAGCAACCUGUGCGAGCGCCGGCUCAGCGGCUGCAGCCUGUGCGGCAUUGAGGAGGAGCACCGUGCGGUUUACGACAUGGUCCAGCGCAUCCUGCUGUCCACCCGCGGCUAUGUCAACUUCGUGAACGAGGUGUUCCGCCAGGCAUUCUUGUUGCCUUCGUGCGACAUAGCCGUAACCAGAAAAGUAGUUCAAGUGUAUAGAAAGUGGAUCCUGCAGGACAAACCUGUGUUCAUGGAGGAACCAGACAUAAAAGAAGCUGCCCAGGAAGAUGCUGAAAAAUUAGAAUUUUCAGAGACUGAUAACAAGCAGACCUCUUCUGAAGGUUCCGGUCACAAGCGGUCUUCCAGUUGGGGACGGUCUUACUCCUUCACUAGUGCCAUGAGCAGAGGGUGUGUGAUGGAAGAGGAGAAUAAGAACGUGAAGGCUGGGGCCCAGGCAAUGCUGCAGGUAUUUCUGACAAAUGCUGCAAAUGUCUUUUUGCUGGAGCCAUGUGUGGAGGUUCCCAUGCUCUUGAAGGAGCAAGUUGAUGCCUGCAAAGCUGUUCUGAUUAUCUUUAGGCGCAUGAUAAUGGAGCUGACAAUGAAUAAAACGACCUGGGAACAGAUGUUGCAAAUACUACUCAGGAUAACAGAAGCUGUCAUGCAGAAGCCAAAGGAUAAACAAAUCAAGGACUUGUUUGCCCAGAGCUUGGCAGGGUUACUGUUUAGGACGCUCAUAGUGGCCUGGAUCCGAGCAAACCUCUGCGUGUACGUCUCCCGGGAGCUCUGGGACGACUUUCUCGGGGUGCUCUCCUCCCUCACGGACUGGGAGGAGCUUAUCCACGAAUGGGCCAGCAUCAUGGACUCCUUGACGGCUGUGCUGGCCAGGACUGUGUACGGAGUUGAGAUGACCAAUCUACCUCUGGACAAGUUAAGUGAACAGAAGGAAAAGAAACAGCGAGGCAAAGGCUGUGUUCCAGAUUCUCAGAAAGGAAGCACCGUGGGGAGGUCCUUUUCUCUGAGCUGGCGGAGCCACCCCGAUGUGGCCGUGGCCGAGCCCAUGAGAUUCAGGAGCGCCACCACGUCCGGGGCGCCAGGGGUCGAGAAAGCCAGAAACGUUGUCCGCCAGAAGGCAACCGCUAAGCGAAGCCAGUCUAUCAGCAACUGUGCCCACCUCUCUGAGGCUUUGCCCGCCACUAAAAGCGUCCCACUCCUCCUCCACACCGUGAGCGCUCUCUUCCCCGGUCUCUCUUACUCUUCUUGCUCCCACAGGCUGUCAGAAGUGGAAGAAUACCUGCAGCCAGAAAACGCACCUGCCACCGAAUCUGGGCCCCUGGGGCAGCAGCCAAUGGUUCGGAGCGGCAGCAGCCCUGAGGUCACCGAGCCGCUGUGUCCUGAGCCCCCCCCAGGCCAAAAGCUAGAAAAUGCACAGAACGUGAGUUCUUCAGAGCCCAGACUUGCUCAGGAGAGCAAAGGACAUGAGAAGAAAGAGCAUGAAGGAAUAACAAUCUUAGUUCGAAGAAGCAGCAGCCCCAUUGAACUGGAUUUGAAAGAUGACUCACAGCAGAUGCAAGGAAAAUGUAGGGAGAGACAGAAGAGUGGCAGUGUGAGCAGUGACCCCACUCUGGGCUGCAGCACUGAGGCAGAGCUGUCCCUGAGCCACUGGCAGACCUGCGAGGAAGACCCAGAUCUGAGCCCGCCUGCGGAUACUGUGACCGACGCUGACGCCCGCCACUGGUUACAGCUCCGGCCCACAGAUGCUUCGAACCUAACAGACAGCAGCGAAUGCCUUGCUGACGACUGCAGUAUAAUUGCUGGGGGGACGCUCACUGGUUGGCACCCAGACUCAGUCGCUGUGUUGUGGCGAAGAAUCUUGGGGAUCCUUGGAGAUGUGAAUAAUAUCCAGUCACCCAAAAUCCAUGCCAGGGUGUUUGGCUAUCUCUAUGAACUCUGGUACAAGCUAGCAAAGAUACGGGAUAACCUGGCAAUAAGCCUGGAUAACCAGUCUUCUCCAUCUCCUCCUGCCUUGAUCCCACCGCUCAGAAUGUUUGCAUCAUGGCUAUUUAAGGCGACGACGCUGCCUGACGAUUAUAAGGAAGGCAAACUGCAAGCCUAUAAGCUGAUCUGCUCCAUGAUGACCCGGCGCCAGGACGUCCUGCCCAACUCAGAUUUCCUGGUGCAUUUUUACCUCGUCAUGCACCUGGGACUGACCAGCGAGGACCAGGAUAUCCUAAAUACCAUCAUAAGGCACUGCCCGCCCCGCUUUUUCUCCCUGGGUUUGCCUGGCUUCUCCAUGCUGGUGGGGGACUUCAUCAUGGCUGCUGGCAGGGUCCUCAGUGCAGACACGCUGGCGGCACCUCGUUCAGAAGCCCUCACCAUUCUCGGGUCUCUGGUCUGCUUUCCGAACACCUACCGUGAGAUUCCCCUGCGGCAGCCAGUACCUGAAGUUGCUGAAGUUGCCACGGGAGCAGAAGAUGUCAAGCUCUGCCUCAUAAGUAUCUUACUGAAGAAUGCCACAGAGGAACCAAGUGAGUGUGCAAGGUGCAUUGCCAUCUGCUCCCUCGGGAUCUGGAUCUGUGAGGAGCUGGCACAGGGCACUAGCCACCCUCAGCUGCAAGAGGCCAUCAACGUGAUUGGUGUCACUUUGAAGUUUCCUAACAAAAUUGUGGCCCAGGUAGCCUGUGACGUGCUCCAGCUGCUAGUCUCCUACUGGGAAAAGCUUCAGAUGUUUGAAACCUCCUUGCCUCGGAAAAUUGCAGAAAUCCUCGUGGCCACAAUUGCUUUUCUGUUACCAAGUGCAGAGUACUCCUCAGUGGAGACAGACAAGAAGUUCCUCGUGUCCUUGUUGCUCUGCCUCCUGGACUGGUGCAUGGCGCUGCCGGCGGGCACCCUCCUCCACCCCGUGUCCACCGCGGCCCUGGACGAACAGGCCCCGGCCCGGGCCCCCUUACUGGAUUACAUCUACAGGGUUCUGCACUGCUGCAUCUGUGGCUCAAGCACGUACAGCCAGCAGAGCCGCUACACCUUGACCCUGGCGGACCUGUCGUCCUCGGAUUACGACCCCUUCCUGCCGCUGGCGAACGUGAAGAAUUCUGAGCCGGUACAAUUUCAUUCAUCAGCAGAACUGGGCAACCUGCUCACUGUUGAAGAGGCAGAGAGGAGGAGAAGGAGCCUGGGGCUGAUCCCGCUGACCGCGCGCAUGGUGAUGGCACACCUGGUCAACCACCUGGGCCACUUCCCGCUCUGCGGAGGCCCCGCCGUGCUGCACAGCCUGGUGGGCGAGCACCACGACAAUGCGCACGCCGAUGCCGCCGAGCUCUCCCCAGACGUGUUCCGGAGCCCCAGCCUGCAGCUGUUUGUGUUCAACGACAGCACCCUCAUCUCCUACCUGCAGACGCCUGCGACCGGUCCUGCCAGUGGGUCGCCAGCAGGCACCCCCUCGGAUGUGAGAGUGAUCGUGAGGGACAUCUCAGGGAAGUACUCGUGGGACGGGAAGGUGCUCUAUGGACCCCUGGAAGGCCACUUAGCCCCCAAGGGCAGAAGCCCCUCGUUCCUCAUCUCGGGCUGUCAACCCCCAACCCCUGGACCUCAGAGGGCUCCUUCUCAGACUGAGGAGGGAGAGGAUGUCCUCGACAAAUUACUUGAAAACCUUGGCCACACGAGUCCUGAAUGCCUUUUGCCAUCCCAGCUCUGUCUGAAUGAGCCUUCCCCACCCCCUUGUGGCAUGAACUGGGACCAGGAGAAGGAGAUCACCAAGGUCCUGCUGCGCCAGAGCGCACAAGAAGAUGAAUAUGUCCAGAGGUGCAACUCGGACGUGGCCAUGAGGGUCGCCAGCCAGGAGCCGCCGUCCCCGGUGGAGCCCCGGGGAGCCUUCUACUUCUGUAGGCUGCUGCUUGAUGACUUGGGAAUGAAUUCUUGGGACAGAAGGAAGAACUUCCAUCUGUUGAAGAAAAAUUCAAAAUUAUUGAGAGAGCUAAAAAAUUUGGACUCCCGACAGUGCCGUGAAACGCACAAAAUCGCAGUGUUUUACAUUGCCGAAGGUCAAGAAGACAAGUGUUCGAUCCUUUCCAAUGAAAGGGGAAGCCAAGCGUAUGAAGACUUUGUUGCUGGACUUGGAUGGGAGGUGGACCUGUCAACCCACUGUGGGUUCAUGGGCGGGCUUCAGCGCAAUGGCAGCACGGGCCAGACCGCCCCCUACUACGCUACCUCGACCGUGGAAGUCAUCUUCCACGUCUCAACUCGGAUGCCGUCAGACUCAGACGACUCGCUCACCAAAAAGCUCCGUCACUUGGGGAAUGACGAAGUCCACAUCGUCUGGUCCGAGCACUCCAGGGACUACCGCAGCGGGAUCAUCCCCACCGCCUUCGGAGACGUUUCAAUCAUCAUCUACCCCAUGAAGAAUCACAUGUUCUUUAUUGCGAUAACCAAGAAACCCGAGGUUCCGUUUUUUGGGCCUCUGUUUGAUGGAGCAAUCGUGAGUGGGAAGCUACUGCCAAGCCUUAUCUGUGCCACCUGCAUCAACGCCAGCCGGGCCAUCAAGUGCCUCAUCCCCCUCUACCAGAGCUUCUACGAGGAGAGAGCUCUCUAUCUGGAAGCAAUAAUUCAGAACCACCGUGAAGUCAUGACAUUUGAGGAUUUCACAGCCCAGGUCUUCUGUCCAUCUCCCAGCUACUCGGUCAGCGGAACUGGACAAGUACAGUCAAACCCAGACGAGCCAGGCAGCUUAAACUGAGAAAUCGAGAACUGCUUUAAAGGUCAUGUCUGGACCUUAAAAUCUUGGAGGAAUCCACUUGUGUCUGUUGAUAAAUGAAUCCCAAAAUCACGGUUGCAGUCACAGCUAGCCAUCUGGGAGUGGAGGACUGUUGAUUAAAAUGCAUGAAGGUCUCGCUGCAGUGUUUGAACAAGGGCCUCCCUCUGCUUCCUUCCAGGGCCCUGGCUGCCGGGCUGAGCUCCCCUCUAUGGUGCCUCUUGGGGAGGAGGAGAUGGAGGACACUCCCCCACUUCCCCAUCCGAACCCCCAAACCCAGGCUCCGGGAACCUUGCUGCUCUGCCUGUGUCCUCUGCAAGUCUCCCCGCUCACGGGCUUCUGAACUUGAGGAGGAAUCCCACCAAAAUGCUGCGGAUCAGACUCUCAAACUAGGCGGUAGCAUCUCAGGAACCUUGGACUGUGAAAGAAGAAAAGUUGCCAACAACCAGAGACGCACCCGCCGGUGGGGCUCCCCCAGCAGAGGGAACAGGAGGAGGUUCUGGGCUCCCCAGGAGGGCGGGGGGCAGCUGGCUCUGUCCCCCAGGAGUCUCCUUUGCUUUGUAAACUGUCCGAUGUUUCCCUGUCCCGCUCUUGGAGGAGGGCUUCCUGCAUUGGUUUUGCUUCUCCUUCUGUUAGGAUUCACGGCUAGCCCAAAAUUUCAUCAUCAUGGAAAUUGGCUUUCCCCUGGGCCUCGAGCCCGGGAGAAGUUGUGCCUCCGUUGCUGUGUUUUCCACCUGGUCCCCAAUGCCCGCUAACCAGGGAGAGCAUUCCUGACCCUGACCCUGACCCUAUCCUUGCUGGAGGCCCUCUACGUGGUGAUGGUGAAGCUCCUAUCUCAGGGCGCUCGGGUGAUUCUAGAAACACAGAGUCCUGUCCCUGCAAAAGCUCCUUCCUGGCCUCACCCUAUGGUAGGCGCCCCCCUGCCUCCUGCUGGGAGGGGCCUUCCACACUUUUCCCGACACACAGAGCUUUAGGGGGACUGAACUCCAGAGAAGGGUGUGAUCCCUACUUUGUAUCCAUUUGGCUGCCCAAGAGGGGCCUGUUGUGUUUUUGUUUUUGUUUUCAGAAAGGGAAGAAGGACAGCCCCACUUUCCAUUUGUGCUUGCCAGGUGCCCUUGCUGGGGUUGGGGUGUUGGGCGCUGGCCCUCUGCUAGUCACCGAGGCCCUCGGACCAUCUCCAGAGUGAGCCCUGAGCCUGGAACAGGGGAGCCACCAGCUAAGAACCCAGAAGGUUCUCCAUGCAGGUGCUUCCCGCCCAGCCUGCCGUCACCUCUACACUCCUGCACCCACCCGCGGGUGCCCCCAGCCUACCCCUUGCCCACCUUCCAGCUGGGCCCUCCGAGCCCCUUGCCCAGCAGGGCCACCAUCUUCCCUGACCACCCACCGCCCAGUGGGCUGGUGCCUAACAAUGGCAGGGGGAGCAGGCAGACCCUGGAGACUGUGAGACGGGAUUCAGAAGGGCUUUCCUGUUAGAAGGCGGGGACUUCUGAUUCUCCAGGGAGCUUGUUUCUCUGCUUUACAGAGAAUGGUGGGUAGGACUUGAGGCCAGGCCCACAGGCAGGGGCGGCUCAAGCACUGCUGGGACCUGAAAGAACCCAGUUCGUCCCAACAGAAACAGCUCUCCCGGCUGGUCUGUCAAUGGUUUGUCCACCAAUUGCAGGCUUGGUAGCAACAUCAAGGGUGACCAGAAGUGACCACCUUCUCUGUUGUAUCAGCAAAUGUCACAACUCUUGUCCUCCCGGGCACUCCCCCCACCGCCCCCCAACCCCAGCUUUGAGUGACUUCGGGUUUCUGCUCAGCGUGGUUUGGCCCACAUGGCCCCAGAGUCAGGUUCUGCUCCAUGUGGGUUCCUCGAUCCUACAGGAGGGACAUCACGUGCUCCUGAGUCCCACAUAAGCUCUAGCUUCUGGGAGACCAUGUCACCUUCAGGCUCUAGACAACCCCUGUAUCAGAAUUCUUAAACUUGGUUUCAGGACUCAUACUGAAGCCCCCCUCCCCGGACUCCCGCCCCAUGAUUCCAGCCCUCCUGACCUGGAGUGGGAAAGGUGGUUGUAGGUAGCAAAUACAUAGACUUUCCUAUAAUCCCAAAAGAUUCUGACCACCCUACGACCCCAGAGGACAGCUAACUGUGUGAUGGCUCUUCUCAGUAACAGCUUUGGUUUAGAAACACAGGGACUAGUGACCAGGUUUUUUGCUUGCAAUCACGUGCACUUGAAUCGCUUUUGUUAUUUGGGGUGGAAAAUUGAAACGAUCAAGUUUUUUUUCUUUUUUUUUUUUUUUCACUUAGAAAAGCAAAUAUUGAGCUUCUGUAAUAAAUGCCUUUCAGCAAAAUUUCCAAGGGUCACUUAUCCGGUGGGCACCCACCUGAGUCACCAUGCUGACUCAUGACAUUAGUAGGUCAGCCAUCCGUAAACACAAGUGGCCCUUGCUGGCCCCAAAUGGAGAAGACUCGCGGGCUUCCAGGCAGGCCCAGGUCUUCCGCCCACCUCUCUGCACGUUGAUUUCCGUCUGAAGCAAAGAUAGUGAUCUCUAGUCUCACUGAGUAGGUGUUUGUACUUAAAAAAAAAUAGUAAUUCCACAAAAUGAUGACAUUUUAAGUAGUAAAACCUUAAUUAGACAGCAGUGAGGACUUGUGGCUUGAAGACGGGACUGUCACGGUGUCUUCCUGUGGUUAAGGAAAGGUCUUCCCAGCUGCCACAGGGAAGGAAGGGGGCUUCAGCCUUGACUCUGAGAGAGGCUGGCUGGUGGGACCCUCAUCCUUACCACGAGAUCCUUCGGAUCCUUAGACAAUGCAGGUCACAUGUUCCUGACCUUCCUUGGGAGUGACCACCCACACUUCAUCUACUGUCUUAUCUGCAGGCGGGAGGGGUGCUUUUACGAUGACUGUGACGUCUUAGAUGUAACUAUGUAACCCUUAUAGCGACUGAAGGGAAAUGUCCACACCCAAUGGGAAAUUCCACAGGAAACAACCAUGUCUUCAUUGCACUCAGUACCUAUGUAUGACAUACAUGUUAAGUGAAUGUUUUCUUGGGUUUUCCAGGUCUACAAUAUUUAGUCCAUGUAAAUGAUAGAAUUUGAUAAAUAUGGUAAAUUAAGUUAUAAGGUGUCAUUUGAUUUCUCUUUUGCUGUCUCACGUUAUUUAAUGUUCCUGAUGCUCCAUACCUGGUUUGUGCCUACGUCGGUGUAGACUGUGCCUGUAAGCCACUUGGCUGGCACAGUGCCCCUCGGUGAGGGGCGCCCUGCCCCCAAGGAGCACACGGCUCACCAAUGGCCACUACCUGACUCCCCAGUUUGCCCUCCCUCUUUAAUUCUGAUUUACUGUGACGACUCAAUAAAGUAGAAACACAGCAUUCACAUGC